rnacentral:rRNA from 1 species
UACGUAGGUGGCGAGCGUUGUCCGGAAUUACUGGGUGUAAAGGGCGUGUAGGCGGGACUGUAAGUCAGAUGUGAAAUUCCAAGGCUUAACCUUGGAGCUGCAUCUGAAACUAUGGUUCUUGAGUGCUGGAGAGGAAAGCGGAAUUCCUAGUGUAGCGGUGAAAUGCGUAGAUAUUAGGAGGAACACCAGUGGCGAAGGCGGCUUUCUGGACAGUAACUGACGCUGAGGCGCGAAAGCGUGGGGAGCAAACAGGAUUAGAUACCCUGGUAGUCCACGCUGUAAACGAUGGAUACUAGGUGUAGGAGGUAUCGACCCCUUCUGUGCCGCAGUUAACACAAUAAGUAUCCCACCUGGGGAGUACGGCCGCAAGGUUGAA